UACAGAGGGUGCAAGCGUUAAUCGGAAUUACUGGGCGUAAAGGGCGCGUAGGCGGUUAUUUAAGUGGACGGUAAAAGACCCGGGCUUAACCCGGGGAGGUCCGUCCAAACGAAGUGACUAGAGUGAGGGAGAGGAGAGUGGAAUUUCCGGUGUAGCAGUGAAAUGCGUAGAUAUCGGAAGGAACAUUCGUGGCGAAGGCGGCUCUCUGGCCCUUGACUGACGCUGAGGCGCGAAGGCAUGGGGAGCAAACAGG
rnacentral:rRNA from 1 species